rnacentral:rRNA from 1 species
AUUGAACGCUGGCGGCGUGCCUAAUACAUGCAAGUCGACCUUAGUGGCGAACGGGUGAGUAACACGUGGGUAACCUGCCCAUCAGAAGGGGAUAACACUUGGAAACAGGUGCUAAUACCGUAUACUGAUGGAUGGACCCGAGGUGCAUUGGCUAGUUGGUGAGGGAACGGUUCACCAAGGCCACGAUGCAUAGCCGACCUGAGAGUGGGAUCGGCCACAUUGGGAGUGAGACGAGGCCCAAACUCCUACGGGAGGCAGCAGUAGGGAAUCUUCGGCAAUGGACGAAAGUCUGACCGAGCAACGCCGCGUGAGUGAAGAAGGUUUUCGGAUCGUAAAACUCUGUUGUUAGAGAAGCGGUAUCUAACCAGAAAGCCACGGCUAACUACGUGCCAGCCGCCGCGGUAAUAC